rnacentral:rRNA from 1 species
CACCGGCGGCUCGAGUGGUGGCCACUAUUACUGGGCUUAAAGCGUUCGUAGCUUGGUUGUUAAGUCUCUUGGGAAAUCUAUCGGCUUAACCGAUAGGCGUCCAGGGGAUACUGGCAAUCUAGGGACCGGGAGAGGUGAGGGGUACUUCAGGGGUAGGAGUGAAAUCCUGUAAUCCUUGGGGGACCACCUGUGGCGGAGGCGCCUCACCAGAACGGCUCCGACAGUGAGGGACGAAAGCUGGGGGAGCAAA